UUGAGGGGCGUCAGCAAUUCGGCUGGAAGGCCAGAUGAACUCUGUCUUGGCGAACCAGAGCUCAAGCUCCCAGCUGUGCAUUCACCUGCUGCUUGAGGUCCAUCUGCAGGUUUGUAGUGGGAAGGCGCUGGUUGUGGUGGCUUUGGUAUGAUUGUAACAGCGAGGAAAUUGCGGGCUGGCUAGUAAAGGAACGUUGUUGACAGUUGCUUAAAGCUGGGGAUAUAUAUUUGAUAAUGUAUUGUAUCCUGGACGCGCAAGGCCGCCCAAAAUUGCGUCCGCAAAUUCUUAGCUUUCAUGCAGCUCCAAGCUAAUGGCAACCAAGGAUGUAACAAUCAAAUCUUCAAUGUGUAAGAAUGCGCAUCAUAUACACACCUUACUGUAAGGAAGCGUUGAUGUGGUGUCUGAGUGGCGCGAGUCCCAGCUCCCGGCAGUCUCACCCCGCACGGGUGAUCGGCUUGGCUGGGACUAACUGUGCGCAGAGUCACACGGACUUUGACAGCGGGAGAAUGUGCAGCAACCCUGGGGGGCCCCUGGCAGCAUCAGAUGGUCUCUGGCGUGCGUGCACACUUUGGAUUGUCCCGCCUGAACCAUAAGACAUCUUGCCGCUAUCUUGCCAAGAUGACGGGGCACCGGAAGUUUCUGUGCUGUGCCACAUGCGCGUGGGCGCGGGAAGGGCCUCGGCGGGGAUUCCUGACCUUCCUCCCCUGCUGACCAUGGCCCCUGGUGGGUCACAGUCCCAGGUCGGCCGGUCAGCUACCGUACCAGCUGCUGCACAAUGGGUCACGCGUGUGUUACAAGGGGUAAUAUUUAACAUACUGCUUUACGCCCCCUCAGUUCGGACUUCAUAGCUAGCUAGUAAGGCGCACGUAUGACCACGCCCAUACCUGACCAAACUCCUUGUCGGGAGGAGAUACUACCCGUCCAAAUAAAUACAAAUAUCACUUGCACCUUCACAGACAUCCACGCACUGAACCCUCCACGGAUUGCCAUCAUAGCCGUAACCGACAGCCUCCGCUUAUGAAUCCCUGAAGCUUGCACCAGUCAACACCUCACGCAUCCGUGGCCACAUCCCGUCAAAUCAUCCCUUACCGUGCUACUAUAUUAGUAAGAAGCUGCGCUUGACGUGCACUGAACAGCAAAUGCGAGAUGCACUGCGCUAUCAAUGGGUGCGAAGCCGGAAUCAUUGGCUGCGCCCCCUGCGUCACGCAUCUGCAUGCAUACGCUGCCCGCGCUUCAAGCCCUGAUACAACAGGCCCUGCAUUCCAUCUCGCCAACCUCCCGCACAAUUCCCAUGCCCAAAUCAUUCUGAGCCGCAAACACAGACAUAGGCGUGACAGUGCGCUUCGUUUGAUGGCGUGUGUGGCAGUCAUGCGCCCAAUUCUAGCCCUCGUAUGUGUCCCUCCCCAGCUAUGUCGUCAUCAGCAGUCAUCAACCAAGGUUUCCGUCUUUCCGGCGGUACGGGCUUGCCCUCCCAACCCCACAUGAAGACUGCAGUUCCUUGCUCGCAGGUACCCAUCACCUACGUCUCCGGCGGCGGCCGCCAUCUAUAACGUGUAACACGACGCAAUGCAUGGAAACACAGGUUUCACAACCUAAGCGCAGAUCCUUCGGGCACAAUACCAGCGAUCUGCUGCCUCCCAAUUGUGCCCGUUCUCUUCUCGACUUCGCAGCAUUUGUGGCAAUGCUUCCGGAGACGGCGCACACGCCCACACGCGUGGCCCACCCCGGCUCGGCCUCAGCAGUGCUACCAACCAUACGCAACCAUCCACAACAGCAGGCAAUUGAUGAGCCGCACACUCGCAGCUUUGCUGAAAGCCGGCUUUCAGCCAAGACCCAAGGAAAUGAGCAGGCGCAUUGUGCGCCGCCAUGUCGUUGGCCCCACACCAGCGUACUGAACGCCCCCCCUGAUUGCUUGGCCGCUGCAUCCGGUAAGCCGGCAACUGUUCGCGUAUAUCCGCUAUUAAGGAAGAGUAUUAUGUUUGCGUAACCAGUUCUGCACCUGCUCAACCGCAGGCGCGCUUAGCUCAUGUGGCCUAGACUCUACGCCUCCAAUCUGCUCCUUGCCCACUGCGAGUCGACAACACCUAUCGACAAACUUUCAAACUCAAUUGAGAGUAAACACGCCAAGACCGCAGCGCACCCCGUUCAUUAUGCCUGGGUGCGCGCCGCUGCUGCCUCGCGGGCGCGCGCCGCUGCGCGGCGCUGCUGCGGCAACAGGAUCAAUAAACAGACAGCCUCCACUGGCUGUCCGUGUGUUCAGCCACCACACACAACAUGAACAUUACGAAACGACUGUGAACGGCACGCUCGUGUAUGAGUUGCUAACAGUUAAAUUGUUUCAUGCACACAACCGCCAGAGAGCACAGAAAUCAAGACCUAGAGCGAACGCGCAGCGGGCACGCGCAGCAUGCACUUACCAGCACACAGCAGGGCACAAUUGUGGUGAGGCCACACUACAGACACAUGGUGAGGCCACACUACAGACAGAUGCAUAGGAGUAACGCGAAUUAUGUGCGGACUCCCACCACCUUCAAAACCUGCAUUGAAGCAACCUGCCCUUGCGGCCAAGCUAUGCGUAAUAUGUCCGCGCGCCUCUGUCCAGUAAGCGAUGAUGUUGUCCAAAGCUCGCUCCGUGUGGUCAUGUAGCCCCACUUCCCCCCGCCAUCGUGUGGGCAAUGCAAGUUCGAUCAACGUCCGCGCCGCCCCUCAUAACCAAAACGCCACGCCCUUGCCUGCAGACAUAAACUGCCGCGCAACAAAGCCACUAGGCUUGCCUGGCAGCUGGGAUUGUGCACAGCGAUUAGAUCGGUUGCCUGACCUCAUCAUAGCAAAACGUUUGUGGGAGGCUCCCACAGCCCAACGUCCAGAAGGCCGUGUAUCUGACUUUGUGAGGUACCCUACGAGCGCAUCCAUCUAACUACCGGAGAGUCCUCUCAAAAUUGUUUACGUACUUUGUUGCGAAGCCAAGAGGCGUGCAAGCCAUGGCAUUUUGAGCUACCUACCAUGAUGGCAAAUCAAGCCGCACCAAAGCCAUUAUGGUACUUCGUUGUAAGCUCCGGUUUUGAACACCCUGAAGAGAGCCGACGGAUGUUGUUUGCGCUCUCGAGCUAUGCCGUACGCGUGAACCCCGCCCGGCCCACCCCGGCUCAGCCUCAGCAGUGCUACCAACCAUCGACAACAGCAGGCAAUUGAGCCGCACACUCACAGCUUUGCAAAAAGCCAGGACCUAAGGAAAUGCAGACCCUUGCUGUCAGCUCCGCUCUGCUCCUCUGUACUCCCUCCGCAACUUGCCCAGCAAUGCACGAAGGCCCUGACCCCUAAACAGCUCCCCCCUCUAUUCUUCGGAAGUCCGCUCGCUCACGCCCCUGCAAAUGCUCUUGGACCGCCGCGCAAGCCGUUCAGAUCAGCUGCUGGCAUUGCCCUCUCCCGCCAGCAGGCCUCGAAACGGGGUCCACGACGCGACAACGACGCCCAGCAGUACGCCUUGCUACUGCAUCCGCCGGCGACCGCGCUCAGCGCUAUCAAGCUUGUCGAUCAGUAACGAGCUGUACUUUGGCAGCGCUAGCAUUCCGUUUUGCAACAUGCUCCGGCCACCUUUCCGCACCUUGCGGCGGCUAGGCGCGAGGCCGCUUGCCGGCUGCGGCCAGGCUCUCGCUCUGCGCCGCCAACAGGUGGCUCUGGAACAGGGCGUCGUGCACCAGGUUCUGGACGUCCUCGGGGCUGAGCCCGGGGUCGUCCAACUUCACCUCAAACACGUCACGCACCGUGCCGUUGGUGGUGGUCACGGCGGCGGUGCGGAUCUGGUGGCGGUUGGGGGGUUGGGGUCGGCAGGGGGUUGGGAUGAAGCGAAGUGAGCGGUGGGAGCGCGUGGACCGGAGCGGCAGGACGGGGCAACGACGCACAACCACAACCACGCCGACAAAACACGUAACCACAGUGCUGCUGCCACAGCGGAGAGAGCUACUGAGCGGCUGGCUGGAGGACUGACACUGCCGUGCCAUGAGGUAAUAUGGCAUCGCAUGCCACCCGCACGAUGGGCACACCACAUCGCAGCGUGCCCAACACUCCCCUCCAAGCCUGGGUGUCCGGCAUCCCGCCGCCAGCGGCCUCACCUCCAGUGGCAGCUGUCUCAGGGCGUUGAUGAUGUCGGACAGCAGCCCCUUGCGGUCGCGGCACUUGACCUGCACGUAGUAGCAGUCGGGGCCGCGCUCCACCGUCACGCCCGACAUCUGCGUCAUCUGGCAGGGGAUCUGUUGAAGGGAGCGCAGCAGCGGCAAGGGGGUGGAACAGCAGCAAUCAGCAGGCGGUACAGGAAUCUUGCGAGUUAAGAGUAUCGGUAGGGCAUGCAACACCAGCACUAUAUAAUACAACACGGUGACAGCGGGCGCGGUCGUGGACGCGCACGAAUGCACGAGAUGCGCUAAUGACGGCAAGCCUCGGCGGGACUCACGUGUGGCAUCUGAGGAGCGCCGCCGACCUCCAUCUCCUCGUGACUGCACGCAGGUGACACACGUGACUCACAGUUAGUGCAAGGCGCACAGCAAGGACACACGCGCGCAGGUGCAACGAACGCACUGGUGGUCUCCCCCAAAGCCUUGCCCUGCGCUACCUAUUUGGCAAAGUAUUCUUUACACCGCAUGUCGGCCCCGAGCUCGCUCUCAUACACCCCGCACAAACCUGGAGGAUCCCUUGCUGGCCUUGCCCUCCGAGUUGGCCGUGUCCUCCUCCCCGUUGAAGCCACUGCCCAGCCGCCCGACGGCGCCGCCGCUGCCGCCGCCGCCGCCUCCAUUGCAGUAGCCGCCAUUCCCGUUGACGUAGCAGCCAUUGGUGGCGCCGCCCACUUCCAGCGCGCCCAUUGAUAGCUGCAAGACAAGACAUGUAAAGCGGGGCCGCACAGGUAAGCAGAAAUGCAUAAGAUACCGUAGGCACUUCCACAAGCCGUGCUAGCAUUGCGCAACGCGGGUACAUGGUUACUGUGUGCGGUAGGGUACAGUGGACAUUACGUUAGACAGCCCGCCACUGCAGAGCCAACGAGACUACUUCACCAAACAGGUUAUAUCUCGCGCCCCCACCUUGAGCUGCAGGUGCUUGAGCAGUUGGAUGGUGUCUGCCAGUACAACGUGCUUGGGCCGCCGAGCUUCCAGGCCUCCCGCGUCGUUGGCGGCGGCGGCGGCGGCACCGUUGGCUCCACCACGCUGCUGCGGCGGCACAAGCUCGCGCAGCUGCAUAUGGGAAGCACAGAGCAUGGGAAGUACUAUUCGGUCAGUGAGCGUGUAUUGGCGCGGCGCGUGCAUGGAAAGAUAAGGCAAGCAACUGCGAAUGAAGGAAUUCGAUGGAGGAGGAAGCCAGGGAUGCCAAGUGUGGGUUUCAAGGAGCACCAGACCCGUGUAUCCCUGCUGCACCUUCAGUCCAAUGUGACCAUAUGGGAUAGAGUGCUGUGUUGGAGGCACGGCCCUCGCUUGGGGUCCUGGACCCCGGCCUAGGCACGUCGGCAGCGGCAGCGGUGCUCAUGCUCACCUCGUCAAUCAGUGAGUUGAUGCGGUCGCGGCGCUGCUUCUCCACCGUGGAGUGGCUGAUCUGGCCCUUGGGCUCAGCCAUGGACAUGGACAUGGACAUGGCUGCGAGUUGCGGCGGGGCCAAACGCAAUUAGUUGCGUCCAUGAACGGGCAGGAGCAACACGAUUACGAUGUGAUGAGCGGAAGGGGCAACGUCGUGGCCAUUCCGAAGCCGGUGAAAACGCUAAGCAAUCGAGGCAGCUACCAGCACACCGUUGGGGUAGACGCAUCGGGCUGAGAACGGGUGCUGCGGGGCUGGGUCACGAUUACACUGGCCCGCGUGCGUUUUCAGGUCGUAACCAACCGCACCAACUCACCUUUGCCCGGCGGUGCCGGAACCGAUGCGAAGCGCGCCAGCUGGAGUGGGGCGUGCACGUGCAGGCAGCCGGCCGCGGCUGCCGCCAGUUGCGCAUUGUGUUGCGCCUGCUGUGCGGCAGUGGCGGCGGCGACAAGGGUGCUCACUAGCGCCGGCGAGCUGCCAACAAGCGCCGCGUGCCCCGCGGUGCCCGGCAGGGUGUAGGCGUGAAGUGACGUCGGAGCGGAAGCAGCGGCGGCGUGAGGCAUGGGCAUGAUCGAUAUCUCUGCACCGCUACCGUAGAGGGACGCUGGGUCGGCGACGCCGGUGAGUGCGGGUGUGUCUACCGGUGACGCCAGUGCCGAUGACAGCGCGCUAUCCUCCAGCUUGACCGCUGCUGCAACCGCGCUCUGCUCGAGGCUGCACCCACUGCCGUUGUCCUUUUGAGAACGCGGUUGGAACUGCGAUAAAGGUGGGGCGUACAGGUGCACGGGGCAGGGGUGCAAUUUCGUCGGUUUGCUUCUUCCGGAACAGGACCCGACAACGCUCGCACCUGAAGAGCAAGUCCAUUGCCGUCAGUGGCGCGCAGGAAAUCGAGAGCGUCAGGCUCGGCCUCGCCGGCUGCUUUGCGCUCUAUCACGCCCAGCAGCUCGUUGAGCUCUAAAUCCGUGAAGACAUACUGCGAGUCGCCGAUCCCAAAGUCCAGCGCCUCGUUCAUUCUGUCUACCAAGACCUACAGCCGAGUAGAUAGUGCUCGCGCAGUCAGGUUAAACCAGGAAGCCGCUAGCGAGGUGGAGCACCGAAGACUGUAAGCGCUUGCCAACCCGUUGCGCACCGCACAACGCUCACAGCAGGCCGUGUGACGUCACGAAAACCUGUUAUGUGCGCACGAGAGGACAUAUGCGCAUCGGUUAUCCCGACUCAUGUGGCGCAUGUGACCGUAGCAUGCGCAUGUGCGCUCGCGGAAACUUCGGCCUGCGUCUCACUUUGCAACUUCCAAACAUCGCUUGUGCAUAUUGUAGUCUGGGCUACAUGUUAGUCUGCGAGGGAAAUGUAAGGUGAUGACUUGCCCUGGGUUCGGGCAUUUGCGGCUGCGACUUGCGAGAGUGGUGGGCGACUUGCGAGAGUGGUGGGUGACUGUGGCAGUGGUGGGUUGGCGUGCCCCGGCCCCCGCAGGGGGCGCGGCGCACCCAUACGUUUCAGAAAGGGGGGGUCGACGCCAAGUUGAUCCACACACGUUUCCGGCCCCCGCCGACUACACGCAGCCAGUAUUCAAGCCAUCAGUUAUACAAAGUCACUGUACACAAGAAGGAAGUGGCCCCGGCGACGUAGAUCCGUCAUCCGACUCGAGUCAGGGAACCGCGACAGCGAAGGUAACUGUGAUAGCAACAGGUUGAACAAACUCAAACAUAUGCCAUGAAUUCGUCCUCAGCUGCAAGAAAGACGUGUUAGAUGCCGAUCUUAGAGCAGACAAUACCGCUGGUCAAAUACUGCUGGUCAAAUACCGCUGGUCAAAUUAGAUUGGUUAACGUAUAAAUGGCUCUAAUGUGGGCACAUAUGUACCUGUCAGAAGCCUCGCAGACGCGUGGGCUACGAGCGCGAGCAUUUGCCCUUAAUACAGCCGCGCUGUCAGCCCCAAUAAGUUAGAGCUGUACAUCUUAGGAAUUGGUAUCUAUUUAUCAAGCCAGCUUGGAUUAGGAAGACGGUUUUGCCGCAACGAAGUUCUUGCCAGCCCCGCUUCGUCCCGCACGAGUUCCGCCAUGCUGCCGUUUUGUUCAAUACCUGCAGACUGAGGUGCAUGCGGUAUAUGAAGUACGUAUAGCAGCGAUGCUGAGAUUCUGUUAUCAUUACAUUUGCAAAACGUUUAGGGCUUUGCCGCAACUUCAUGACCAUGCGACGUCCAACCGUCCGACGCACAGCCCCGACCCCCCCCCCCCCAACGUUGUGCGCAUGCCAGCAUCCCCAAUACCUUUGAUCCAACGUAUGUUACGACUCUGGCACUCCAUAUCAUCAUGCUCAGACUUCAGUCGCCAUUCCUAUACCAGCCUCCUUUCACCUCAGCUCUACGCCACGCUACGCCACGCCCUGACGAAGGGUCACUACUUGCACACGCCUGCUCUCAUGCCCAGCACUAUAACACCGUACGUUGCGUCAGGUUGCGUUCCCUGUCACUUGACUUCCUUAGGGGCACGCCCCAUGGAUCGCAUGGCGGUCCGCUAGUGACUGUGGCAGUGGUGGGUGACGGACGCUCAGUGGUGGGUGAAGUAAUUCUUGCAAACGCGGAGCUAAUGCAGGUUGAUAUUCAUGCGGUUGUUUGAAGAUGGCUAAUGCGAGGGCUCUUGGUGGGAACUUGCACUCGAACGUCGCGUUGGCCUGUGCCACGCCAUGCUGUGCCAAGACGCGCUUCAGUUGUCCAGGUGCCGUAGCCCAGCCUUUGUCGAGCCCUGAUCCACAGGCAACGCUCAAAGCAACUCUCAAAUUGAGCACCAGUGGCACUGCCUGGCCGCCCGGAGAGGAGCAUAUACUGAGCUGAGGCACGAGCUGAGGGCCAGGGUGCUGGGCACCCUUCCUUGGUCAGACUGUCCCUUCUUGUGUUGUCGCAUACAUAUACUGAAGGCCGACUCGGUAGGUGACAGUGCGGGCCCCCCAGUAUCGGGCCGGAUGUUUACUUUGCGGACGCCAUGGCCAACCUUGGGCUCAAGCUUGGGUUCCCUGCUUGGGCUCAAUGCGCAGCAUGGUUGCAUGCGGCGGGUAACCUAGCACGAAACCCUGAGCUUUGUUCAUCAUCAUGUGGCGGCUAGAACACGGUACAGGGGUGCUCCCUGAUACGGAAGCACCUCUCCGGGAGCACGGGUGCCGGGUGCGGUUGCGGAAGUAGCUGCCGCCUGCAAGCCCACUCCGCCUUCCGCUCUGGUCUACGUACGCAUUAGUACCGCAACACUCGUCAAUAGCUGUGGGGUGACGCCGACUGGAGGGUAGUUUGAGCAGGCACCGCCAGGCAUCGGUCCAGGGGCCAAGCACAGCCAGUUGCAACACACAUCCAUCCGCAUCCCAUCAGCCAUACUCCCUCGCCAUCACAUCGUUGCUGUUGCCUUCCUAAUAAUGACGAGUGUGGUGGAAACGAAUGCGUACGUAGACCAGAGCGGACGGCGGAGUGGGCUUGCAGGCGGCACGAGAGUAGGCAGUCAGUAGCGCAAGUUGCGAAUUCACAUGUUACCUCGUAACCGACGGUAAACGCUGUGGACGGCCGCGCCCAUGGCUGGCUGACAGAAAGCGGCUGCUGUAUUGGGAUGGCUGGGCUGGACGACGUCCCGCUGCCAAGCACAAGCACAGACGGCAACAAACCAAACAGCAGGAAACCCUCUAGCCACAACACUCUUCGAUGCUGCGGCCUACUACACACCGUGCCAUGCUAUGCUCGCCAGCAAAGACCGCAAACCAGACACCGGCAGGUCUCAAUAUGCGCACCGGCGCCGCUUGUCGGGCGGCGCCGCGCUCUCCUCCUCCGCUUGGCCUUGCCUGCCCCCUCUGCUACGCACAUGCACGCCGCCACGGCUAGGCCCAGGCCCUGCGCCGCCGCUGCAGCGGCCAGGCCCUGCACCACCGCCGCAGUCGCCGACUCGCGAAGUCGCUUCUCGCUCCGGCUGGUUUUGGGCCGACUCCUAUUUGCGAUCAAUUGGCCUNNNNNNNNNNNNNNNNNNNNNNNNNNNNNNNNNNNNNNNNNNNNNNNNNNNNNNNNNNNNNNNNNNNNNNNNNNNNNNNNNNNNNNNNNNNNNNNNNNNNCACACACACACACACACACACACACACACACACACACACACACACACACACACACACACACACACACACACACACACACACACACACACACACACACACACACACACACACACACACACACACACACACACACACACACACACACACACACACACACACACACACACACACACACACACACACACCAUCCAAGCGUGCACGUUUUCAGCACACACAUCCUCUCUAUAUGCCCUUCCUUCCGUUGUGCCGCCUUUGGGCCAGACCCGUGGGCCAGACCCCUUCAUUGUCAAUGUAACUUAGUACUUCAUUUCAGUCUCCCGUCCUCCUUCCUCUCCUUUCCUGUCUCCUCUUCCUGUCUACCUACGUCCAAAAAUCAAUCAUUUGCUCCCUUCCGAUUGCCAUAUCUGUAUGCCCUGCUCUGUGCUAUGCCUCCACACCAGCUUUCGCCACAACUAGGAGGUGAAGAAGCCGCCGCUCUCGUUGCGGAUGUAGCCCUGAAGAACGGGAGAGGGGUAGAUGUGAGAGGCAUGGGCAGGCAGGCCAGGAAAAAUUUAGGCACAGCUUGGGCGGGUGUCGCUGGGACUUGAAGCUCAAGGCUGGGCAUGCGGCCCAGUUUCGGAUGAAACCCACGGGGAAUACCGGGUGUAUCACAAUGGCAGGAUACAGUUACAAAAUCCACGGCAGCGUAAUUCCUGUCUCCGUAAGAUUUCCCAUACACAUGACAUGCCAGGGCUGGGGGGUGUGGCGGGUGCGGGCGCCCACGUGCCCAUGUCCCCCCCUUUGGUCCGUGCAGCCGGAAGCCCUAACCCAGCCACGGUUGCUCACCGGAUGCUUCUGGGUCUGGCGCGGAGGCAGCUUGGGUUGCCGGGCGCCAUCGUGAAUCACGUUUCGUAGCGUAGCCUCAUACGGAACUUCAUCGCCGUUCGCAAGAACCUGCAGACAGGGAGUCGAGGUUUGAGGGACUCUGUUCUUCAUCCCGGUGGACUUCUUAGUCUGGCAAAGCCCACUAAAGCUGCCAUUCAAGGUACACAUAAUCGUCAGGACCCCUGCAUAACAGCACCUACCUGGAGAGCUCGAAAGUGCGAAAACUCGCUUUUGUCUUGCUCCUUAAUCAUCGUUGGUGGGCGCGUAUUCCGGAUGGUCAUAGUGUAGUUCUUAACCUGCAGGGUUGACGUUGAGGGGCGUCAGCAAUUCGGCUGGAAGGCCAGAUGAACUCUGUCUUGGCGAACCAGAGCUCAAGCUCCCAGCUGUGCAUUCACCUGCUGCUUGAGGUCCAUCUGCAGGUUUGUAGUGGGAAGGCGCUGGUUGUGGUGGCUUUGGUAUGAUUGUAACAGCGAGGAAAUUGCGGGCUGGCUAGUAAAGGAACGUUGUUGACAGUUG
rnacentral:lncRNA from 1 species